rnacentral:lncRNA from 1 species
UUGACAUCUGUCAUUAAACUGUUUCCAGCUGCUGGCCUUGUUCUCUCAGCUGUUCUUCAACACUGAAGCCUUGUUUCGCCUGCUUCCGGGUUUGGAGCUCUUCCGGAGGCACAAGGGUUUCAGAAGGUUGACUUUUUGCCUUGUCAAGAUGAAUUUACAACCAAUUUUCUGGAUUGGACUGAUCAGUUCAGUUUGCUGUGUGUUUGCUCAAACAGAUGAAAAUAGAUGUUUAAAAGCAAAUGCCAAAUCAUGUGGAGAAUGUAUACAAGCAGGGCCAAAUUGUGGGUGGUGCACAAAUUCAACAUUUUUACAGGAAGGAAUGCCUACUUCUGCACGAUGUGAUGAUUUAGAAGCCUUAAAAAAGAAGGGUUGCCCUCCAGAUGACAUAGAAAAUCCCAGAGGCUCCAAAGAUAU